rnacentral:rRNA from 1 species
CCUACGGGAGGCAGCAGUGAGGAAUAUUGGUCAAUGGACGAGAGUCUGAACCAGCCAAGUAGCGUGAAGGAUGACUGCCCUAUGGGUUGUAAACUUCUUUUAUAUGGGAAUAAAACAGGGUAUGCAUACCCUCUUGUAUGUACCAUAUGAAUAAGGAUCGGCUAACUCCGUGCCAGCAGCCGCGGUAAUACGGAGGAUCCGAGCGUUAUCCGGAUUUAUUGGGUUUAAAGGGAGCGUAGGUGGAUUGUUAAGUCAGUUGUGAAAGUUUGCGGCGCAACCGUAAAAUUGCAGUUGAAACUGGCAGUCGUGAGUACAGUAGAGGUGGGCGGAAUGCGUGGUGUAGUGGUGAAAUGCUUAGAUAUCACGAAGAACUCCGAUUGCGAAGGCAGCUCACUGGACUGCAACUGACACUGAUGCUCGAAAGUGUGGGUAUCAAACAGGAUUAGAUACCCUAGUAGUC